GAUGAACGCUGGCGGCGUGCUUAACACAUGCAAGUCGAACGGAAAGGCCCAAGCUUGCUUGGGUACUCGAGUGGCGAACGGGUGAGUAACACGUGGGUGAUCUGCCCUGCACUUCGGGAUAAGCCUGGGAAACUGGGUCUAAUACCGGAUAGGACCACAUUUUGGAUGGUGUGGUGGAAAGUUUUUCGGUGUGGGAUGAGCUCGCGGCCUAUCAGCUUGUUGGUGGGGUAAUGGCCUACCAGGGCGUCGACGGGUAGCCGGCCUGAGAGGGUGUACGGCCACAUUGGGACUGAGAUACGGCCCAGACUCCUACGGGAGGCAGCAGUGGGGAAUAUUGCACAAUGGGCGCAAGCCUGAUGCAGCGACGCCGCGUGGGGGAUGACGGCCUUCGGGUUGUAAACUCCUUUCGCUAGGGACGAAGCGUUUUUGUGACGGUACCUGGAGAAGAAGCACCGGCUAACUACGUG
rnacentral:rRNA from 1 species